UACGGGGGGAGCAAGCGUUGUUCGGAUUUACUGGGCGUAAAGGGCGCGUAGGCGGCGUGACAAGUCACUUGUGAAAUCUCCGGGCUUAACUCGGAGCGGCCAAGUGAUACUGUCGUGCUAGAGUGCGGAAGGGGCUACUGGAAUUCUCGGUGUAGCGGUGGAAUGCGUAGAUAUCGAGAGGAACACCUGCGGCGAAGGCGGGUAGCUGGGCCGACACUGACGCUGAGGCGCGAAAGCUAGGGGAGCGAACGGG
rnacentral:rRNA from 1 species